GAAACUUUCUAUUUGACAAGUGUGUGAUCAGGGAUCUCUACAUGAAUUCUCCACAGAAAGACUGAUCUCAUGGAUCUAGAAUUUGCAGUGGUUCUUGUGAUUAGAUACCUGAAGGAAAUAUUGCUCUUAUGUGACAUUAAAGAAGAAAAAUAUGACACUUACGGCAAGUAAAAAGACGGCGUGUGGUUCUAUACGCUUGUCUGGGGCUUUUAUUGUCUGCACCCUUUGGCCUUUUUGAGUUGCCAGCUUCUCCAGGUCCUCCAGCUUCUCAUGAGUUGCAUCUAGGCGAAGAUUCUGGGCACCAUGGUUUAGGCUUCAGAGCAGCAGAUGAGAGAGCAGCAGUGGAAAUGGGUCAGUGAC
rnacentral:lncRNA from 1 species